rnacentral:rRNA from 1 species
UACGUAGGGGGCUAGCGUUGUCCGGAAUCAUUGGGCGUAAAGCGCGCGUAGGCGGCCCGGUAAGUCCGCUCUGAAAGUCCGGGGCUCAACCCUGGAAUGCGGGUGGAUACUGCCGGGCUAGAGUCCGGAAGAGGCGAGUGGAAUUCCUGGUGUAGCGGUGGAAUGCGCAGAUAUCAGGAGGAACACCAAUAGCGAAGGCAGCUCGCUGGGACGGUACUGACGCUAAGGCGCGAAAGCGUGGGGAGCAAACAGG